AUGUAUAACUCACACAUAAAUUGUAAUAGCUUACAUCCUGACUAUUCAGGUAACGAUCAUAUAAACUUUUCUGCCUCAUAUCAUAAAAUUGCAGGAGAAAAUAAUUAUAAAAAUUUGGAUUUAAACAAAGUUAUUGCGAACAGUAUAUACGAAAGUAUUCAAAACAACAUCAACUAUUUAAAAAAAGUAAACAAAGCAAAAAAAUAUUUUUUUACAAUUUUUAUACAUGCAUUUUAUAUAGUAAAAGUUUUUAUGACUACUUAUAUAACUAAUAACUUUAUUAAAAAAAAUUCGUUUGCAUUGUUUGU
rnacentral:lncRNA from 1 species